UACGUAGGGGGCGAGCGUUGUCCGGAAUGAUUGGGCGUAAAGGGCGCGUAGGCGGCCUUAUAAGUCUGGAGUGAAAGUCCUGCCUUCAAGGUGGGAAUUGCUUUGGAUACUGUAGGGCUUGAGUGCAGGAGAGGUAAGUGGAAUUCCCAGUGUAGCGGUGAAAUGCGUAGAGAUUGGGAGGAACACCAGUGGCGAAGGCGACUUACUGGACUGUAACUGACGCUGAGACGCGAAAGCCAGGGUAGCAAAC
rnacentral:rRNA from 1 species